GUUCCACUGCAGGCUCCUAAUGGGAUGACUUGAAGGGAAAGUCAUUGUCCUGACAGCCGCUGCCCAGGGGAUCGGCCGGGCUUCUGCCCUAGCUUUUGCAAGAGAAGGUGCUAAGGUCAUAGCCACGGAUAUCAAUGAGUAUAAACUUCAAGACCUGGAAGAGUACCCAGGUAUUCAAACAUGAGUCCUUGAUGUCACAAAGA